rnacentral:rRNA from 1 species
UACAGAGGUCUCAAGCGUUGUUCGGAUUCAUUGGGCGUAAAGGGUGCGUAGGCGGCGCGGUAAGUCGGGUGUGAAAUCUCCGGGCUUAACCCGGAAAGGUCAACUGAUACUGCGGGGCUAGAGUGCGGAAGGGGCAACUGGAAUUCUCGGUGUAGCGGUGAAAUGCGUAGAUAUCGAGAGGAACACCAGAGGUGAAGACGGGUUGCUGGGCUGACACUGACGCUGAGGCGCGAAAGCCAGGGGAGCAAACGGG